CAGUCAUUGGACGGUAGACCAGUAUAACCAGUGGUUAGAAACUGGGUCGUGGCAUUCUCAUCUUAUAAGUGGGCGUGAAUGAAUUAAACAAAAAAAAAAAAAAAAAAACACUUGGUGUAUUUGUGUGUUUGAUAGACAAGCGCAGUGCCCUGAGGGGCGGGAUUAUACCUGCGUGCAGUAGUGAGUAUGUGCAUGCGUUUUCUUAUAAGUACCUCGUUGGGGAGGAAAGGUUGUUGUGAAUAUCUGUUAUUAGAACUCAUCUUAGACGUCGGUGUAGCAGGUUCUGACAUUUGGUUGUGUGAUGCUUUGGAUUAUAAGAAGUUAUUGAAAUGAAAGAGAAAAUGCCUUACUUUGACAAGCAGUUCGUGUUGCUGAAGGGUCUUGAGAGCUGAAGAACCUAGGAUACACAGUGGACGGUUGGGUCAGGAGCUUACAGGAAGAUGACUGACUUUGGCACACAUUUCUGG